rfam:Dipodomys ordii contig_5548, whole genome shotgun sequence.
GGUGGCUCAGUGGUAGAGUGCUUGCCUUGCAUGCAAGAGGUGCUGGGUUCGAUUCCUCAGCACCA